CGAAUGCUGACAUAAGUAACGAUAAAGCGGGUGAAAAGCCCGCUCGCCGGAAGACCAAGGGUUCCUGUCCAACGUUAAUCGGGGCAGGGUGAGUCGACCCCUAAGGCGAGGCCGAAAGGCGUAGUCGAUGGGAAACAGGUUAAUAUUCCUGUACUUGGUGUUACUGCGAAGGGGGGACGGAGAAGGCUAUGUUGGCCGGGCGACGGUUGUCCCGGUUUAAGCGUGUAGGCUGGUUUUCCAGGCAAAUCCGGAAAAUCAAGGCUGAGGCGUGAUGACGAGGCACUACGGUGCUGAAGCAACAAAUGCCCUGCUUCCAGGAAAAGCCUCUAAGCAUCAGGUAACAAC
rnacentral:rRNA from 1 species